rnacentral:rRNA from 1 species
AGCAGCCGCGGUAAUUCCAGCUCCAAUAGCGUAUAUUAAAGUUGUUGCAGUUAAAAAGCUCGUAGUUGAAUUUCGGGGUCUGUCCGUCGGUCGGGCUUCACGGUCCGUACUGGUGUGAUGGGUUCCUACCUUCUGAAUAACCGGCAUGCCAUUCAGUUGGUGCGCCGGGGAAGCAGAGCUAUUACCUUGAAAAAAUUAGAGUGCUUAAAGCAGGCUAGUGCUUGAAUAGAUUAGCAUGGAAUAAUAAAAUAGGACGGCAUGGUUCUAUUUUGUUGGUUUCUAGGAUCACCGUAAUGAUUAAUAGGGAUAGUUGGGGGCAUUAGUAUUCAAUUGUCAGAGGUGAAAUUCUUGGAUUUAUUGAAGACUAACUUCUGCGAAAGCAUUUGCCAAGGAUGUUUUCAUUAAUCAAGAACGAAAGUUAGGGGAUCGAAGACGAUCAGAUACCGUCGUAGUCUUAACCAUAAACUAUGCCGACUAGGGAUCGGACGAUGUUAAUUUAAUGACUCG